GCUCCAAUCAGCUUAAAGUCCUUGCAAAGAAAGAAAUUGUGCCCUGUCUCUCAGCAUUGACCACAGCAGAGAGCCUAGGAUGUGAAUGGGUGUCAAUAUUCAUCUGCUGAAUGAAUAGGGGAAAUCUUCAGAGGUAAAGGAAGACCCAUAAGGAGGAAGUCUGGAUGUUCAAAAUUGUUUCUUUCUGGUAUUGCCGAAACCUGCUUUUUGGAAAGGACUGCAUUUGGUUUCAGCUGCAGAUGAAGAGAUUGCUUCGCUUCAAACCUCCUGACUGCCAUGGAACCAUCUGGCACAUGCACGUGUGUGGGGAGGUGAGACACCAGCUAACACUAAAGUCUUCAGCUGGUAUGGCAUUAUUUCUUAUGGAGUGUUACAGUAGCGACCGAGGUGACACUGAAGGAAAAUUCUGUGACAGUAUGUUAAGUAAGAUAUUACUGACAGCCCUGCUGAGCGGCGAUGCAGAACUGCAUGUCGUGGAUCUAUUCUCACCUCUUCAGCCCCCACCAAAUGGUCUCCAUUUGUGGCAUGUGCAAGCAGAAUGGAAACAUGAAUGGAAAAUCAUGUUCUUUUUUUUGAAUUCACUUGUUUGCAUUCCAUUAAUAGGGCUGGGAUGGAGGCUCAAAUCUGGUAUAAAAGAUACAUUUAUCAGUCCUGUAUCAUACUGUUGUACCUUUCUACCAGAGGUAGGAAAAUGGAGAGGCACCAAUAGGCCUGAGUUCUAG
rnacentral:lncRNA from 1 species